AUUGAACUGAUGGUUACUAGUCCUCGACGGUUACUUGCUCUGCCAAAUAAACUAUUAUUUUUGAAGCACAAAAUCGUAUUGCAGUUAUCUUUAAAAAGCUCCCUGGAAUGUGUUUGGUGAAAUGUGGUACCUACAUCUUUUCGGCUAUAAAUCGUUCUGCAAAUAAAGGAAUACGUUUCGACGUUUGUCCUGGAUUACAUUAAAACUGAAAACAAUGUAUGAUCUUGUCAUUCCUGCCGUUUGAAUCUAGGAUGGAAUGAAAAAAAAAUCGGGCAUUCAGGAAAAAAUGUUCAAGUGGAACCAAUAUAAUAUAGAGUUUCAUAACCAGUCGGAAAUUGUUAAAAAAUCAUACCUACUUGCGCAAAUCCAGUGACUGCUGACUAUGCGUCUUCCUGAUGGUCAGUAGGUGACACUUUGGAGAAACAGCGCUUUCUCUUCAGAGCCCAUAUCAGUUGGAACUAACAUGGUUAACCCCCUCAAAAAGGCACCGUACACUGCUUUUUUGUACCAUCAUUGUUGGGUGCGAUAGUAGUGGCGAUAAUAUGCUAUGUGAUCACGUAACUGACUAUUCUUUUACAAUGUCGGAAAACUGCAUCUUUUGACAAUCCUAAGAAAAAAAGUACAAAGACUUUAGCUGGUGCAACAAGCAUGUUACCACGAUUGACAAACAGACCACCGCGAUUCUCAACCACAUGGCCUUUUCAAUUCUGUACAUUACUUCCUGAGAGAAACAUCUCCUUUGGUCAAUGUUGAGAUACCAAUCUGAAAAAUUCGUCGCGAAGCCAAUAUGCUGGUGUCAAUUACGCCAAAAUUCACCUGUGUCAUUAAUCGAUGUAGCUAGAGGCACUAGAGAUGUGCAAAUGAGGACAACGGCCAGCGUAAUUCUACCGCCGUGGAAAAUUCUACUUUUUGUUUUUUAGCAAAAUGUUUUUUGGUUUUAUCAAAUUUGUUUGCUAAUACUUUUACUGCCGCUAGGAGCAUUAUUGUCCCAUGUGUAUAGGGAUUCCCAUAGCACAUGGGACAGUUAUGCUUCUAGCGGCAGUUUGCUACAAGUACAUUUUGAUAAAUUUACGAUUUUUUAAGAAUUUUCAUUUGCAAUUAGUCCGCAUAAGAAUAUUCAAGCUAGUUUAAUAUAACGCAACGAAUAAUUAUAGUUAAGGUAGACGAGCCGUUAUCCAUCUCAUUAGUCAGGGUAGCUCGUUAUUUCGAUGAUAACUUGGCUUACAGUGUUUGGAGUGCGCUUAAAUAAGUAUCAACAUCUUUGCUUCGUUCCUAAGAAGCAGAUCCAUAAAAAAUCUAGCUUGAAAAAUGUAAAUUAUUCGCGCUUAAGCGAAGCAAAAAGUCGAGUACAAGGCACACUUCAUCUUACUAUUUGAACUAAUGCAUUGAAUAGAGAUAGCUCUGCUCUAACUAAUUUGUUCAAAUGGGUGGGAUGAUCAGAGAUGCUAAGAUGAAUUAGGGCACAGUAACCCUACUUAGAGACUGCGUAGUGAAAAUCAAAUGUAUGAUUCCUAACCAAUAUCUGAACAUUAUUUGGGACGUUGGACGAAUAUCAAUGCUGUUUUUAUCCUGCAUGUUACUCAUAGUAUGAGAUGUUCCUUUAUUACUGAAAUUGUGCUGCCAAUGUUCGCAUAACUGUCCCAUGUGCUAUGGGAUUCCCUAUACACAUGGGACAAUUAUGCGUAGAGCGGCAAUGUAAGUUCCGUACAAUCCAGCGAAAACGACACAUCAAACUUCACUUGACACAUCAAUGACAAAAAUUACAAAAAACGUGUCUUUGAUAAUUUCUUUUGACGAUACAAUGCGUGUUGGCCUAUUCAGUCAUUUUCCGUAGGCCGUUUUGAAACAACAAAACGUUUAGCUGAAACUAGACGAAUGAAUGUUUUAAACUAAAAUGAGCGUUUCUCGAUAGUAUGUAAUUGGUUUAGUUCAAGUGUUCUUAUUUUAAAUAGAAACAUUGUUGAAACAAAAUAAAAGGUUUCGAUAACGCGGCAGCAUAGCUCUUCCAAUCAAUGUUUCGGUCAUACAAAACAAUGGUUGGAUCCGAUGGCCUUGAAUCAGAGUUGCUUGCUAUCACCAUCGGUAGGUGGUCACUACAGAUAUUAUCCUCCACUUGCUUCACUUGUUUGCACCGGUAGUUUAGGAAUCCGUAUCAUUUCCCCUGUGUUCAGAAUUGUCAUAUUAAAAUUGCCACAAAAAUCUUGAACCGUCAAAGAUAGAUUAUCGUCGAACAGACAGACCCGUCCUGUACCGUUGUACAGUGAUCCCAAACUAACAAAAAAGACGGUCAAAAGUCUUUCCUGAGUUUCACAGGUGUUUUCAUGCUUUGAUGUCUUCAGGAAAGUUUCCUAGGAUUGCAUCCUGAAUCUUUUAGGAUGGGUACCUUAAUUUUGCUUAAGGUGAAAAUGCCAUUAAAAAAUGUUUUAGCUCAACAAAAAAAACAUUUUUUGCUUGGAAUCUUGUAGAGUCAAUUUAUUUUGAGCAACUUUGGUGAACGGCAGUCGUGGUGAGGGAAGGAGUUCAAUCACGCUAGAAGAGUUGAGGUUAAUAUUAGAAGUGAACAGGCAUAGGGGAAAUCAUCACAAUUAUUCGAGAUUAUUAUAAUCUAGUAAACAUUAUAAUCUAGUAAAUAUUUUAAUGUAAUAUGUAAUGUAAGUUUAAUAUUUUGGGAAUAAUACUUCUGCAAUUCCACUGGAAAACAAUGAUCGGAUCCGUGAUUUGGUUUAAUAAGUUAGCCACCGAAGGAUACAUACGCUGCAUGCAGGGGCCAUUGU